rnacentral:lncRNA from 1 species
AUGCCAUGCCUGUCAAAGGAGGGAAGAAACCGGACUGCCAACAUUACCAUGGAAACACGCAAAAAUAAAGACUUUCCCAGCCUUGUGAGAGCACACCUGCAAGAACAAGAAUUGCCUGUCAGAAGUGACUCUCCUUCAUUAUUGGUGUCACCUAAGGACAUUUUUUGUGGGCUGGAGCUGGUGUUUAUAAGAAGAAUUCUUCCUAGAAGUGCAAAGCUACUGUCAGCAGGAACAAUGGUCCUUCUCACGUGGUCUGCUCACUCCAGCUAA